UACGUAGGGAGCGAGCGUUGUCCGGAUUUAUUGGGCGUAAAGAGCUCGUAGGCGGUUUGGUAAGUCGGGUGUGAAAGCUCCGGGCUCAACUCGGAGAGGUCACUCGAUACUGCCAUGACUGGAGUCCGGUAGGGGGGUGUGGAAUUCCCAGUGUAGCGGUGAAAUGCGUAGAUAUUGGGAGGAACACCAGUGGCGAAGGCGGCUUACUGGACCGGUUCUGACGCUGAGGCGCGAAAGCGUGGGGAGCAAACGGG
rnacentral:rRNA from 1 species